CAUUUGGAUGUUGUGUUGAGGGACAUGGUAUAAUGAGAAUUAUUGGUGGUGGGUGGAUGGUUGGACAGGGUGAUCCUGUGGGUCUUUUCCUACCUUGGUAAUUCUAUGAUUCUAUGAUUCAUCAUCAUGUAUCUUAGGUCUUCCUGAUUCCAUCCAAGUUUUACUCAUUUUUAAUGACUCACUCAUGUGCAGUCAGUUUUACACUAGGCAUUUAUUCAUACUUCAGAGAUGGCUCCUGUGCUGUACUUAUUCUAGCAUUUUCAUGGCUACACAAAAAUAAUUUUUCCAUGCUUCCCUUGGAUAUGGUUUUGGGAUGGAAUUCAAAUUCACACUCACUUGUUUCACCAGCAACAUCUGUAAAUACAUUUCUAUUCCCUUCCUAAAGAUAUCCUCAAACAGAGGAAAUUCAGUUUUACAUAAAUUGCCUAAUUUUUUUGCUAUAAAGAAAGCAUUUGAAAGUUCUCAUUAGCAAGCAAAAUUGAAAAUAGAACACCACAAUGUACUGAAAUAUUACGCUUUUUAUUAAUAAAAUAUCUCUACUAAUAUAGAAAGAAUACUUAAAGCAGCAUACAAUCAUGACUGCAUUCAAAUUGAUUUUCCAAGAGUUAAACUGUCAGCAUUCAUAUUAUCUGCUGACUUCAUCACAGCUGAGAAGACCGGCAGAUAUCUUAAAUGCUACAGCAUUGGAUUUGGAAAGAGCCAGACAAGUCCCAUCCCAUAUUUUCUGGGAGCAACAAAGGACCAUUCUUCCCAGCUUCCCCAAGACUUGAAGAUGACACUACAGAGAAAACCAGUUGAAUUCACAAGUAGCAUGGAAGAACUGACUUCUGAUGUGCACUCCUGAAUACAAUCACAUGAGAAUCCAAAAGGAAAUCAGACCACCUUUGCAGCUCAUAUCUACAGGCAAUUUCAGAAUUAAUCUCUAGUAGGGAAACAACAGGUCUUCAAACUGUGAUCACUGUCUUCUAGAAUUGGAGCACAGUUCUUCCCACAGUGAAUGGGUGACUUCAUAGCCCUGGAACAGAAGUUUGAGACAUGCCCGACCACUUGGUUAGCAGAAGUUCUCUUUGUGCACGUAACUGCUUUUAAAAUCUUAGACUGAGUUACUGAUAUGUACUAGUUGCUACAGGUACACUGCACAGAGCAGUAAGACACCCCACUUCUUUGGAUCUCAACUCCAAAACAGAGUAUAAUUUUGGUUAAAUAUUUACAAGACAAGUAUAUUAGAGCAGUAUGGACUCUUUCAAGCAAGAGGGAAGAGUGCUAGUGCAAUAAAGUGUAUUAUUGCUGUAAAUAAACAACAGCACAUCUACUUGCUCAAGAAACAAAAAGUACAAGUUGGAGUAAUUUUAUCUCAGAUGCAUCAAAACAACAUGGAAAAUGUAAAAAAAAGACAUAGAUGUCAUGAAGUAAAUUCAACAGGAUGUUUAUUCAAAAAAGAAAACAGAAUACCAUGUGGAUGAAUGAUUCAAUACAUUGGACAAGGAUUAACAAGACAAUCUAUUUUUAAUUAUAAUUCAGUAGAUGUGCUGUUUGCUUCACUAAAUUAAAAAAAAAAGUAUUUACUGGAAAAGGUAAAGAAAUUUUCUUUUGGUCAAGAAUGCAGCAAAACUCCAGGAAGCAAAUACUGCAGAACAUUUGUUUGUGGUAAUACAGUUAGCCUGAAAAUAGGAAGCACUUGAAUGUGUCUGGUGAUCAUCAGCAGACUUCUACUGGAAGACCUCUAGGGAACAGUAACAAGCAGAAACUGGCUGAUGAAACAAUGUCCUUCAGUAGGAGGCUUACGUAAAGCAUAAAACAGAUUUCUUUUGAAAACUAAGUAUGACUAACAUCAAUGAAAUAUUUCUUCUGCCUGCUUUUUGCUGUUCUGGUUCUGGCCAUUAAAUUUGUUUACUAGUUUCUAGUAAACAACACCAUUUAGUAAACAACACCAUCUGAGCCUUAAGCUCAGAUAUGUGCUCAAAAUUUGUGACUGUAACCUCCUGGUAUCUAACUCUUUAUUGACAAGUCAUCUUUUACUGACAAGUCAUGUUUAUUUUAAGAUAAAGGCCCUUACUUAGAAGCAUACUAUGUAUCUUCAACUUUAAUUGAGUUCAUCAGGCAUUAAAGGUUCCCAACGACUCUGGAGAUUAAGGAGGCAUUCCAUAGGAAGACAGACACAUAUGCUUGACUGCACAGCUCUGAGGGAUUGAACCACAGUCUUCAAUAUGCUAAACAAACUCCUCCACUACCGCAUGUUUCACGCCUUGUAAGAUUCUUGCUACCCACUUGCAAGAGCACUUAAACACAUUUGCACUGAAAUGUUUUUGUCAUUGCAUGCGCAAGCAGCAACAGAAUCCAAAUACAUUCUCUCUCAAGGCUACUUCACAAAAAAAAAAUUAAAAAUGGAUAGCA
rnacentral:lncRNA from 7 species